ACCAGUAUUUUUCUCAACAUUUAAAACAAUGGAGAAGAUCAUAUCAAUGAAGUUUGCCUUUGUUAUUAUCUUCUUAGUUGUUACAUCCGUGAUGAGUAUUGAGGCAACAAGGUUAUUAUCCGAAGAAGCUCUUCAAACUAUGUUGCAGGGUGAAUCUUUGCCGCAUGGUGAAGAAAAGUUCCAUUUUGGUCGUCACUGUCCAAAAGGGUGUCAUGUGGAAUGUAAUCCCGAUCCUUUUGUUGUAAGAUGUGGUUGUGUGUGUAACCAUUAAUCUGAUCCCUUUUAAUCGAUCUGUAUAAAUAAAAAUAUGUAUUUUUCUUUUAUAAUUAUAUCAAUAAACGACUUGGCCAGUUA